rnacentral:rRNA from 1 species
AAUGCUUAGGAAUCUGCCUAUUAGUGGGGGACAACAUUCCGAAAGGAAUGCUAAUACCGCAUACGCCCUACGGGGGAAAGCAGGGGAUCUUCGGACCUUGCGCUAAUAGAUGAGCCUAAGUCAGAUUAGCUAGUUGGUGGGGUAAAGGCCUACCAAGGCGACGAUCUGUAGCGGGUCUGAGAGGAUGAUCCGCCACACUGGGACUGAGACACGGCCCAGACUCCUACGGGAGGCAGCAGUGGGGAAUAUUGGACAAUGGGCGAAAGCCUGAUCCAGCCAUGCCGCGUGUGUGAAGAAGGCCUUUUGGUUGUAAAGCACUUUAAGCGAGGAGGAGGCUACUUGGAUUAAUACUCUAGGAUAGUGGACGUUACUCGCAGAAUAAGCACCGGCUAACUCUGUGCCAGCAGCCGCGGUAAUACAGAGGGUGCGAGCGUUAAUCGGAUUUACUGGGCGUAAAGCGUGCGUAGGCGGCUUUUUAAGUCGGAUGUGAAAUCCCUGAGCUUAACUUAGGAAUUGCAUUCGAUACUGGGAAGCUAGAGUAUGGGAGAGGAUGGGUAGAAUUCCAGGUGUAGCGGUGAAAUGCGUAGAGAUCUGGAGG